AGGAACACAUCGGAAUCUACCCUGUCGUGGGGGACAACGUAGGGAAACUUACGCUAAUACCGCAUACGACCUUUGGGUGAAAGCGGGGGACUCGCAAGAGCCUCGCGCGAUUGGAUGAGCCGAUGUCCGAUUAGCUAGUUGGCGGGGUAAUGGCCCACCAAGGCGACGAUCUGUAGCUGGUCUGAGAGGACGACCAGCCACACUGGAACUGAGACACGGUCCAG
rnacentral:rRNA from 1 species